rnacentral:rRNA from 1 species
GGGGAAUUUUGGACAAUGGGCGCAAGCCUGAUCCAGCAAUGCCGCGUGAGUGAAGAAGGCCUUCGGGUUGUAAAGCUCUUUUAGUUGAAAAGAAAGAAUCGCGAUUAAUAAUCGCGAUUUAUGACGGUAUCAACAGAAAAAGCACCGGCUAACUACGUGCCAGCAGCCGCGGUAAUACGUAGGGUGCAAGCGUUAAUCGGAAUUACUGGGCGUAAAGGGUGCGCAGGCGGUUCUGUAAGUCAGAUGUGAAAUCCCCGGGCUUAACCUGGGAAUUGCGUUUGAAACUGCAGAUCUAGAGUGCGGCAGAGGGAGGUGGAAUUCCAUGUGUAGCAGUGAAAUGCGUAGAGAUAUGGAAGAACAUCGAUGGCGAAGGCAACCUCCUGGGCUAGCACUGACGCUCAUGCACGAAAGCGUGGGGAGCAAAC